GAAGGGGCUUGAACCUUCGCAGUACCCUUGUUCUUAAAAAAGCGCUCAACGGGACCGCCUUCGGUCAUCUUUUCCGACAUCCUCUACUCCUUCCCCCACUAGAUCUUCACCCGAUGCCUCCCUACAAAGCAUCCACACAGCGAUCUACGGCCUCCACGGCCAGAUCUUAGGCUCCGGCCUCACCCCCAGUUUCCCAGCCUCCUCCUCCUCCUCCGACAACGACGGU
rnacentral:lncRNA from 1 species